AUUGUUUCUCGGCCUUUUGGCUAAGAUCAAGUGUAGUAUCUAAAUAUAUCCUGUGGAAGUUUAAGUUUGUAGUUAGGUAAUUUUUAAGAAUUUUUAAUUGACAAAAAAUAUACACAAACUUCAGUUACUUGAGACUCAUAGAAUAAAC
ensembl:snRNA U2 U2 spliceosomal RNA